GCUCGGCCGCCCGGUACCCGCGUCCCACAGCUGGGUGGCGGCGGCACCACAGCACCAGGCUGCCCGGCGCACCCAUCCUUGGGGGCUAAGGCACAGCGGGGAAUGGCGUCGGCUCCGUACUGAGAGACUCGGGGAGGCUUUAGGAGGAUGCUACGGGAUUUCGGGGUAGGCUGUGGGAGGGUCUGGGACUCCCUCUGCAGGGUCAGAGGGCUUCGCACCGUGCCAUCUGCGGGCCCAGCCCACUCCAGAGACUGGGCGGCUCCACAGGGGAGGCCCCACGGCCCAGGAACCGGGAAGCCCCCCUGCGCCGUAAGCCCAGAACUGGGCUGGAACCGGGUCCCCACUCCUCGCUGUCCGGCCGAGAGCAGGAGACAGCUCCGCCGCCACAGCCCCAGCGGACGACAACACAAACAUUCUUCCGUCCUCUAUUCUCCUCCAAAUUAGGUAUCCAUGGAGACAGGGCCGGCAGCCUGACAGCCCUACGGCCUAAUCCUGAUUUAGUGACCGUCCCUUUAACAGCCCACCCACCCGUCCACCCACCCCUGCGUUCCGGGCUGCCGCUGGGCGCAGGGUCCAGGCCGCGCUCUCUGCCCCGCGCAGACCCCUUCCCAGACCUCCUCCUCCGGCGGGGGCAGGGGGACCAGAGGGGCUGGGGAAGGGGACCAACAUUUGUUGAUCACCUACAAGGUGCUCAACAAUCUGCGAAGGACCCUCUGCGGAGGGGGGUCGCUAGCAUGCGAAUCCCUGUGUAGACCAGGAGAGGGCUCUUGCGGUGGGGAAGUUUGAGGGGCCCUCUCUGGAGAGCUGGGAGCUCCGGGGGUACCCCUUGUUUCCUGUAGCCCCAGGGUGAAGGGGCCGCUGGACAAAGACCUGACGGAGUGGGAGGGGCCUGCGGGCCGGCCCUCGGGCUCCGGACGCUGGAUCCUUCUGGGACCCGAACCCGCAAACCCUGGCUCCCCACCCCCAGGCCAGCAGACGCCCCCAAGCCGGCUGCUCGCUUUCGCUGCAGCCUCCGCACUAGUGGGGGCUGUGAGACGGUGCCCGUCGGCGGCCGGGCGGCGAUCCCCUGCUCUGCCUGCCCCUUCCCCCCGGGAAGUGACCCUCGGCUCCCACGCACCCGCUAGGGUCUCUCGCCAGCCCUGCCCUCCGACCCCCGCCGAGUUGAACCCCGCGACCCGCAGCCCCCGCCCUCUCGGCCCUCUCCGGCCCCGCGCCGGCGGACAAAGCUCCGGACACCCCGACCAAACGGUCACCUCCCCCGCCCCAUCCCGGCCCGCCCGCGGCCCCGUACCUCGGCAUCACGGCCGGGUCCUAGGUGAGUGUGCGCGGCCUGGGGCGCGUCCGGCCCGGGGACCGGGGCGGGGGCGCGGGCCGGGGACGACAGGCCUGGGCUGGGGGGCAGUGGCGCUCACCAUCCUGGAGCUGCUGCGCUGCGGCUGCUGCGGCCGCCGCGGGCGGGAGCCGGACUGGGCAGUGGGGUGGCCGGACAAGGGGCGGCCCCGGCUCCCCCGCAGGCAAGACCCCACCCCACCCCCCUCGCCCGCCCCCAGCGCCCUCCCUCGCAGGCCCUCGCUCCCCUCCCCUUUCCCUGCUCCUCCCUCUCCUAGUGCCCCUCUCUUCCCCCAACUCCCGCCCCUUCUCUGGCCCCUCCACCCCGGCUUCUUCCCCGCCCUCCCCACCUCGCCCCCGCCCCGCCCCCACCUCCCCUGGGCUCGCCCAGCCCUCCUCGCCACCCUCCCGGCUGGCCCCGCCCCCUCCCGCCCCUGGCUCUAA
ensembl:lncRNA